rnacentral:rRNA from 1 species
AACGAACGCUGGCGGCAGGCCUAACACAUGCAAGUCGAACGGGAUCUUCGGAUCUAGUGGCGGACGGGUGAGUAACGCGUGGGACCGUGCCCUUUGGUUCGGAAUAGCCCCGGGAAACUGGGAGUAAUACCGGCUAAGCUCUACGGAGGAAAGAUGUAUCGCCUAAGGACCGGCCCGCGUUGGAUUAGUUAGUUGGUGAGGUAAUGGCUCACCAAGCCGACGAUCCAUAGCUGGUUUGAGAGGAUGAUCAGCCACACUGGGACUGAGACACGGCCCAGACUCUUACGGGAGGCAGCAGUGGGGAAUCUUAGACAAUGGGGGAAACCCUGAUCUAGCCAUGCCGCGUGAUCGAUGAAGGCCUUAGGGUUGUAAAGAUCUUUCAGUGGGGAAGAUAAUGACUGUACCCACAGAAGAAGCCCCGGCUAACUCCGUGCCAGCCGCCGCCGUAA